rnacentral:misc_RNA from 1 species
UCAAGGCGCUCUGAUCCGCGC